GAAGGAGAGCCUCUCCGGGAAUCCAAUGCGCCUUCCGCUUGAACGCCUUUCAACGCGCCUGCUAUGCGUGAGAGCGCGUUUAAGAGAAAGGUGUAUUGAUUCCCGGAGAAGCUCUGGUUC
rnacentral:pre_miRNA from 1 species